UCUUCAUUUCACACACUCUCUCACCGGUCAGAGAGGCGAUAGAGUGUGCGAAAUGAAGAAA
rfam:Pristionchus pacificus strain PS312 contig6015, whole genome shotgun sequence.